UUUCAAUUUAGUAAAAUUUUGAUCAAGAUAAUCUAUGAGAUGGAUUUGAAAGGUUGAAAUAUAAUGUGGAUGAAGCAAUCUUGAUUGAUAGUUAAUCUGAGACCAUCCUAGAGCAUUUAGAGUCAAAAGAAUGAAUUAUGCGGUAACAUGUGCAUGGAUUCUGAAAUAUUUUUUUAUGAUAUUUUGAUCUAUCUGAAUGUCAAAAAUCAUUGCUAGAUGGUAUCUCAAUUAGUACAGAAAUCGAUUCCUGUGCUACCGGCUU
rnacentral:lncRNA from 1 species